UUUCGUAUAUAUAUGUUUAUAGGUUUAUUCGUAUCAACAAAUCUGUGUACGAGUUAAUAACGCACCCUGGGUUCCCUGCAUUUUCAGUGACAGAGAACCAGAUAUAAGAAUGCAGGGAAACAAGCCUUGUUACAAGGUUUGAGGGUCUCUGCUAGAAUCAUGUGGACCCCAGUGUAACACAUCUAUGGAAAGAGAGAAAAUCUCAGCUCAAGGGUCAACAUGUCUUUAUUCCAAGAAAGAGUGUACAUAUGCCAGAAUCAAAUGGACCGCAGACUGGCCCUGGUGAUUCCGUUAAGAAAAAAGAGGAAAAAUCAGUGCUUGUGCUCAUUGGUCAUUGGACAAAGGGUGUAUGCCAGAAUUUUUUGAAGAACAGUCUGAAUCUGACAUGGAAAAAAUGAAGAAAAACAGCCUUCCUGUUUAUAAAUCUACAUUCUGACAAAGGAUCAUUUCCUUGAGAUAGGUGGAACCAACAGUCAAAUCCAGACACCUUUAAGAAAAGUAAAAAUCUGACUCAGGA